UGUGCGUGCAUGAGCUCUUCCAGUGAUGGUCUCUUGAUAAUUCCAAGAAUGCGAUUAGAAACCUAUGGUGUGAGGGCUAAUCAGUAUUUUAAAAUCUAAGCAUAAAACAUAUGUUUUCUUUUAUUAUUUGACCUUUCUCUAGCGAGUAGUUUUAAGCUCUUUUGUCUGCACGCCCUUGGAUGCUUGCACAUGAUGGACCCUAUAUAAAUGAAACUGAUUCAAAAUGCAUCCAGAGUUCUGUGUUGCCGAAAUCCUAAUGUGGACUUCAAUACACAAGUCCCCACACAGCACAGACGUUCUGAGGACGUGUGAGCAUCCUCUAGUCUUAGAAGCUUAAAGCUAGAAUCACUUUUACGCCAAGCAAUCCAGAGCAGAAGGGGGUGGUCUACUGAUCCCGGAGAACAGAGAUCAGCCCUGCUUUUUAUCCUCUCUGAAUGUGCUUGGUGUCUGGCCAGUAGGAGUCGCUGUUGCGUGAUGAGGCGACGCAAUCCCUGCCGGUUUCCCACCACCACCCUGGGAUCGUCAGAGCCAAUGUGACGCCCCUUUCGGAGUUCAGCAUCUUUGCACAACCCAGACAUGAACUGGCGCUGUCCAAGCUGCGUGACUCAACCUGCACUCCCAGCGACAGCGCUUUAUCUGGACAGCACUUUAUCACUCAAUGGAUUAUUGAUCUGUAUUUAUUUAUUCAUAUUGGAAAAUGAAGCUAUUAUACUAGGAAAAUGCUGCUAGUGUUGCCCAAGUGUGGAGAUGCCUUGUGUGCAUUAUUAGUAGAUACAUACCAGUACUGCUAAUUCACACAUUUUCAUGAUUCUUUCAUUAGCACUGGGAAAACUAACUGAUCCCAAAGGGUAAAAUUAUGAAAGUUCUGUCUCCUCUGUGGCACCUGCAUAAGAAGCAGCUAAACUGAAUCAGACCUAACACAGUUCUGUUCGUUAUUAGUUGCUGGCUCUAUUUACUGCUACAUAGACAACUAUUCCCACCCCUCCUGGAGCACAUCCCUUGGGACUGUAAGCAUGAAAUGUGUUUUAUUCUCCUCAAAAGAGUGAGGCACAUUGUAUGAUGUAGCUCAGACUGAGUUCUAUUUAUGUCCUUACACAUUUUAAUCCAGUAAAUCAAUUUGCAACAUUGCUUUGUAUACAUGCUUAAACACAGUCUUGUUCCCUUGUUAUGUAACUAACUU